CACGUGACGUUUUUGAGUUCUAUGAUUGGUCAAUAACAGAGCGCGGAUUUUUCCAUGGACGAUUUGAAUGUUUGUAUGUUGAAAGUGUUGAUAGAAAAAAAGGAGAUAAAACCAGUUGCAGAAUAUUGGUACAUGAUGUUUCCAUGAGCUGAAUCUGUCCUGCCCUGGAGUACAUGAAAUUCUUCACAAUAUUACUUGUUUAAGAAUUGAAGAAAAGGUUAAAAUUGCAAGCAUAUUUCAACGAAAACUUAGCCGACUACCAGUCACACUGCCCACCAGCCAAGACGUCUGACCAGCUAAAAUGAGGGACGCAGUCCACCAGCCAAGUCCCUCGGCCAGCUCGGCUGACCCAGUGCGGCCUGUCAAGGGAUGACCAAGUCCAUCAACUAGCUCGGCUGACUACCAGUGCAGCCUGUCAAGUCCUUCAACUAACUUGGCUUAUUACCAGUGCGGCCUGUCAUUGAACAACCAAGUCCAUCAACUAGAUUGGCUUACUACCAGAGCGGCUUAAUUUUCAAGGGAUGGUCAAGUCCGUCAACUAACUUAACCUACUACCAGUGCCGCAUGUCAAGAGAUGGCCAAGUUCGUCAACUAGCUCGGCUUACUACCAGUACCGCCUGUCAAUAUAGGGACGGUUAAGACUGUUGACUAACUUGGCCUUCUACCAGUGCGGCUUGUCAAGGGACGUUUAAGUCCGUCAACUAACUUGACCAACUACAGAUGCGACCUGUCAAGGGAUGGCCAAGUCCGUCAACUAUCUUGACCAACUACCAGUGCGGCCUGUCAAACGAUGGCCAAGUCCUUCAACUAACUUGGCCUACUACCAGUGUGGCCUGUCAAACGAUGGCUAAGUCUGUCAGCUAACUUGGUCUACUACCAGUGCGGCCUGUCAAACGAUGGCCAAGUCCUUCA